UAUAGAUGCUACAGCCCUAUGACCUCUUCACCAACAGGCACCAAACUUCCAUCUCUGCUACUAGUCUUUAAAGCCACAUAGACCGUGCCUGAUGCUUUUGUCACCACGAGGGCACUUUUUUUGCUGCUGAUACUACUGCAGCUGCCACCAUUACUCCAAGGAGCCAUUUCUGCCACAAACAGAAAGAUUUUCCUCUAAAGACAGCAGCUCUUUCAGCCCCAACACAAAUGCUUCUUUUAUUCACCUGUGGACUGAGAAAUCACACAAAAACAAGACUUUGAUGUUCUGCUCUGAUGUCUAAGAGUUCCUAUGCUAUAGGCGAUUUGGACUACGGUAGCAAGAAAGGAGCCUUGGGUAAAGAAGUGCAGGUGCUGUUUGGAGGUGGAGCUUGCAGGCUCUGGAGUCGUAAGAAUGUGGAGGAAAGGCAAUGUCGGUGGAGUGACGGGACAGAAACCAGACGAAAAUGGGCUGAAGAGUGAAGCAAAAUGAUGAGAUGGAAUGGUAAUCAUUUCUCCUCUGGCGAGACAAUGCUGGCACCUCCACUAAGGCACCCUGCUGAGCUAAGUUUGAGGAAGCACAGAGCCCCAAGUGCUCACCAUCAUCCCUGCAGAUGGGAUAUGUUUGCAUCAACCUCGGAGUUUUUCCAAGGCUUUGCACUUUCUUCUAUGACUUACAACACAGCAGAUGUACCAUACUUUGUAUGAAAAUUGGAUUAUUUAAAAGAGAUUUUCGGAAAAGAAAACCCAUUUUCAGGAAUUCUAUGUAACCUAGAAGAUUGUUUUUCAAAAAACUCCGUAGUACCUUGCUUAGUAAAUAAAAGCAGUGGUU